rnacentral:sRNA from 1 species
GGGGCCGUACUGGUUUCGACGGGGGUGCGGAAACGGGGAUAGCGGGCGGAUGCGCCUGGCAUCCAUAAAACGGGCAAUUAUAAAUUAAAGAACAGCAAUAAGACUGCUCUUCUCGCUGCCUAAGCAGUGAGCGUCUCCUCCGGGAGGGCCGCGGCCCGGAAGCGAGGCGUCGAUCAGCGGCGAACGUGAGUGCGCAAAGCUUUGAGCGCACCAUGCACAAUGAAGCUACCGGACCCGCGAGUGUGAGCGUCCACGCGCGGGCGAGGGAAUAAAAAGGACUCUCUGCGCCCGGAGAAGUCCCCGCGGAUGCACUUUCGGACGGGGGUUCGAUUCCCCCCGGCUCCACCA